GCCCGCCUAAUUUUUGUGUUUAGUAGAGACGGGGUUUCACUGUUGGCCAGAAUGGUCUCGAACUCCUGACCUCGUGAUCCGCCCGCCUCGGCCUCCCAAAGUGCUGGGAUUACAGGCGUGAGCCACCACGCCCGGCGCGAGUGUUUACGAUUGAUGUCUGGGAGUCAUAGCAAACGUGAACACACUUUGUGGUUUUUUGUGUGUAUGUUUUUGUUUGUUUUUUUGUUUUCCUUCUUGAGACAGGGUCUCGCGCUGUCGCCCAGGCUAGGAGGCAGUGGCGCCAUCACAGCUCACUGCAGCCUGGAUUUCCCACUCUCAAACCAUCCAGCCCAAGUAGCGGGGACCACAGGUGCAAGCCACCAUGCCCGACUAAUUUUUUUUUUUUUUUUUUUUUUUUUUUUUGUAUUUUUAGUAGAGAUGGGGUUUCACCAUGUUGGCAAGGCUGGUCUCCAACUGCUGGCCUCAAGUGAUCCUUGCCCGCCUCGGCCUCCCAAAGUGCUGGGAUCACAGGCGUGAGCCACCGCGCCCCGCUACGUUUUUAUUUAUUCCUAAUAACUACUUUAUUGUGAUUCUUAAAGAGCUUUAACUUUUCUUGAGAUAAUUUUAAACUCACAGGAAAGGUGAAGAAUAAUACCAAGAGAGACUAACAGCAGGACGGCAUGAAGAGUUCGGGAUUCACCCCUAGUGAAACUGAAAAUUAUUUAAAACAACAAACAACCAUUAACCAUUUAAAGCCUUUGAAAUGGUCCUAAGGGCAAACAGCAAAUGAAGAAACAUCUGUUCCAAAAAAUCUAUGAAAACUCUUGGAUCAGAAUCUCCCAGUCAGAGACCAGCAUAUCAGCAUUUCUCAUCUUGCCCCUAGCUACCUGAUGCUGAAGGUUAAAGAUGAGAACAAAAGGAAGAUUUCAAGCUGGAAUUGCAGAAGGAGGAUUUGAGAUUAAUGCUGGGUCUGAAAAUUGAGCAAAGGUGUAAUGGUAAGAUUGAGUGAGAGGAGAUGGUGGUCUAAAUGAAGGAAUUAUUGUUGAAAAUGUUAAAAAUGCAGCAGAAUAGCCUGGGCAAAAUGGUGAGACUUUGUCUCUACAAAAAUUACAAAAAUUAGCCAGAUGUGGUGGCUUGAGCGUGUGGUUCCAGCUACUUGGGAGGCUGAGGUGGGAGGAUCACCUGAGCCCGCCUGGGAGGUUGGGGCUGUGGUGAGCCAUGAUUGCACCACUGCACUCCUGCCUGGGCAACACAAUGAGACCCUGUCUCAAAAAAAAAAAAAAAGUGCAGCAGAGUAAAUUCCUGUUUGAUCAACUUCUUACAAUGAAUGUGUACAGCCCUUGCUGGGUUAGAAAAUCAGCUUGAAAACAUACUUUGUAUAUUUAUUUUGAGUCUAUGUGUACUUAGUCUAAUUCAUGCAUUUAUCCAGUAGACAUUCAUUGAAUACCUACUAAGUGUCUGGCAUCAUUCUAGGUGCUGAGGGUGUCUCUAAGAACAAAACUAGCUGUGCCCUCAAAGAGAUCCUAGAAUGUAGACUACUAAGAAUUAACAGAGAAAACACUAAAACUUGUAUGUUAUUAAUCACUGUGUAAGUAAUAAAUGGAGGUCUCAUUUAGAUAAAACAAAAGCCUUGCGAUCUCCAUUAGUCAGAGUAAUAUAGAUUUGCUGGGCAUAGUGGCAUGAGCCUGUCGUCCCAGCUACUCAAGAGGCUGAGCUGGGAAGAUGGCCUGAGCUUGGAAGGUCGAGGCUACAGUGAGCUGUGAUUGCACCACUACACUCCAGCCUGAAAGACAGAGUGAGUCCCUGUCUC